AUUGAACGCUGGCGGCAGGCUUAACACAUGCAAGUCGAGCGAGCGGCGGACGGGUGAGUAAUGUCUGGGAAACUGCCUGAUGGAGGGGGAUAACUACUGGAAACGGUAGCUAAUACCGCAUACCAUCAGAUGUGCCCAGAUGGGAUUAGCUAGUAGGUGGGGAAAGGGCUCACCUAGGCGACGAUCCCUAGCUGGUCUGAGAGGAUGACGAGCCAGACUGGAACGGAGACACGGUCCAGAAUCCUAAGGGAGGGAGCAGUGGGGAAGAUUGCACAAUGGGCGCAAGCCUGAAGCAGCCAUGACGCGUGUGGGAAGAAGGCCUUCGCGUUGUAAAGCACUUUCAGAGAGGAGGCGUUACUCGCAGAAGAAGCACCGGCUAACUCCGUGCCAGCAGCCGCGGUAAUAC
rnacentral:rRNA from 1 species